ACUUUCAUUUUUCUAUUUUUCUUCAAGGGAAAAAUGACGUCGUUUAGACGCUGAAACGUCCUCAACUUCUCGGCCGCGAGGGCCUCCCUCCAGCCCGGGGGUACGACGGCCGCUGAUGAUACUAUGUUGAGUAUGUUCAAAUACAAAAAGCGCAGCUUCUGCGUCUCUAAACAAGAAUCACUUCGUUUCCUCUCUGUUUCUUCUGCAGCAGCCACUGUUGAUGCCAUGAGCCAGCCUCAAGUUCCUCAACAAACGAUCUUUAAUCCCCAUACCCACUUCGCAGAAACAUCAGAUUUCAAUUUUUCACACUCUUCAGAACCAAAAUAUUACGUCUCUGUUCUUAUCAACUGCAAAAACAUCUUUCAAAUUAGGCAAGUUCAUGCUCAAGUGACCGUCAAUGGAGUCCUACCUAACCUUACUGUUACAAAUAAGCUUCUUUACAUGUACUGUCAGCAUAAAGCUCUGGGCGAUGCUUAUGCAUUAUUUAAUGGGAUGAUACAGAGAGACUCUUUCUCUUGGAGUGUAAUGGUUGGUGGGUUUGCUAAAAUUUGUGACUACGUGAAAUGUUUUGGGACGUUCAGGGAGUUUAUUCGGUCCGGGGCGCGGCCUGAUAAUUACACAUUGCCUUCUGUCAUAAGGGCUUGUAGGGAUACUGCUGACCUUCAAAUGGGCAGGUUGAUCCAUCAUGUUGUUUACAAGUUUGGGAUGCAUUUGGAUCCUUUUGUGUGUGCGGCGCUAGUGGACAUGUAUGCAAAAUGCCAGGUAAUUGAAGAUGCAAGGCAGUUGUUUGAUAAAAUGUCGAGGAGAGACCUUGUGUCCUGGACGGUCAUGAUUGGUGCAUAUGCAGAGUGUGGGAAUGCCAAUGAGUCAUUGGCUUUGUUUGAUAGGAUGAUAUUUGAACGUGUUGUCCCAGAUAAGGUUGCUAUGGUGACUGUUGUCUUCGCUUGUGCAAAAUUAGGAGCUAUGCAUAAGGCUAGGCUUGUGCAUGACUAUAUAUUGAAGAAGAAGUUUUCGUUGGAUGUGAUAUUGGGAACUGCAGUGAUUGAUAUGUACGCUAAGUGCGGGAGUGUUGAGUCUGCAAGGGAAAUCUUUGAUGCCAUGACGGAAAAGAACAUUAUUUCAUGGAGCGCAAUGAUUGCAGCUUAUGGGUAUCAUGGGCAAGGAAGAAAAGCUCUUGAUUUGUUCCCUAUGAUGUUGAGUAGUGGGAUAUCACCAAACAGGGUUACAUUUGUUUCGCUAUUAUAUGCAUGUAGUCAUUCGGGACUUGUUGAAGAAGGUCGGCACUUUUUUUCCCUGAUGUGGGAAGAGUAUGCUAUUAGAUCAGAUGUGAAACACUAUACUUGUAUGGUUGAUCUGCUGGGCCGUGCUGGGAGACUUGAUGAGGCCUUGGAAUUGAUUGAGAAUAUGCAUGUUGAUAGAGAUGAGGGUUUGUGGAGUGCUUUCCUUGGGGCAUGUAGAAUCCAUGGGCGCAUAGAGCUGGCAGAAAAGGCAGCGAAAUCCCUUCUUGAAUUACAGCCACAAAACCCGGGCCAUUAUGUAUUGCUUUCAAAUAUUUAUGCUAAUGUAGGUAGGUGGGAAGAGGUGGCUAGGAUCAGGGAACAGAUGACCCACAGGAGAUUAAAGAAAACUCCUGGUUGGACUUGGAUAGAGGUGGAUAAGAAAAUCCACAAAUUUAGUGUUGGAGAUGCAACUCAUCCCCGUUUGAAGGAGAUCUAUUCAAUGCUGGAGAGUUUGAGUAAGAAGUUGGAGUUGGCUGGUUAUAUUCCCGAUACAAAAUUCGUUCUACAUGAUGUGGAAGAGGAACUUAAAGUAGGAAUCUUAUACACACACAGUGAGAAAUUGGCAAUUGCAUUUGGUCUUAUUGCUACUCCCGAGGGAACCCCUAUUAGGAUUACAAAGAAUCUCAGGGUUUGUGGCGAUUGCCACACUUUCAUUAAAUUUGUAUCAGCACUUACACACAGGAUGAUUAUUGUCCGAGAUGCAAAUCGAUUCCACCAUUUCAAGGAAGGGGUUUGUUCUUGUGGAGACUAUUGGUAAACGACUUUGAUGAUACUACUGAGGAAGUAUGCUCUAUUCUUGAAAGGAUUGUGGAGCAAAGCAAUCAACAGUACAAAAGCCUCCAUAAAAGGACUACAAAAAAGGCCAAUGGGAAGGGAGGCUUCAACAAACUUUACAAUGUCAUUACAAUUGGAUCUAAAUUUCCCUCAGAUGGUGUUUGAGCCACCAUCUCUAAAACAUUGAAAGAGAGCUCUGCCCCUUCAAAUAUUUGAUUUUUCCUGCACAAGAUCCAAAGAACAGCUUGAGGAAUUCCCUUUGAAAAGCCCCUUUUAAGAACUCCCAAUAAGGUUGAGAAAACUUGAAUGGAUUUGGAGGGUUUGUAAUCUUCAACUUUGAAAACAGUGCGCAUUCAAGUCCUCUUCUUCUCUUGACUAUGGUUGGAUCAUUGAAAAUCCAACUGGCAAGCAGAGCAGGCAUCCCUAACAUCACUUGGACUUCAUGCCUCCAUCCAAAAGCACUGUAAAGAGUUAACUCUUUACUUCCAAUGGCAAGCAGCACCCACCCCCUGCCAAACAGAUCCUACCUGCCUUUGCGAUGGCCUCUCAAUCACUAAAGCCAUAAACCUGCCCCACAUCCAUCUGUGCUCAUCUGAGCUUUUCUGCUGGAAUCCUUGAAGUGAGUUUUGUUGACACGGAACCAGCUUUUAUGGUUGCAGUCAAAUUGAUUCUGGAUAUGAGUUUAUUUUCUCAUGGGAGGCUUGUUGGCUUGCUGCGGUUUAUUCAUGGUGAGGAGUUGCUGCAUUUGGUGCCUUAGGGAGGUGCCAACGGUGGCCUUGCAGGGUGAGCCACUCCUGCAGCAGGUUUUAGCUCUGGCACCAGUUAUGGCAUCCUAUCUUUCUCGAAACAUUUUGACUGAUAAUGGAGCUGCAUCACAGGCUUCAUAAUGGAGCUGCCACUGUAUUGUCUUGCUAUAGCUCUUGAAAAGUUUUGGGUACUCCAUAUUAAGCGCUUGUUCAGUUGUUCUGUACCAAGCUAUUUUACUAGUUUGUUUGGAAGCCUCACAUUAGAUUAAUGCUCCCUAUUGAAAACAACUAAAGAUGAGCAUCAUUGCAGAGGAUAUUUCUUAUCUUUUUUUUUUUAGCAUUUAUAGUUAAGGGAUAGUUUAUUUAAAGGCAAGCUCUCAGUUGGUUGAAUAAUAUAUGAAUCAGUAUUGUUUGUUUGAA